GACGAAACCAGCAGAGCUUAUCGCUCUUCGUAUAAUUUCGUUGUAACUAAAGGUUGUUGCAUUCUUCGUCGAACAGAGAAACAUCUCUAACCAGUAGCAUGUUAAGAUAUCUCCGAUACAGAUAAGUAUGACGAUUAAUUGGGAAGGCACCGACUGACGUGUAACGGUAGAAACGCGUCAUGGGGGUCUAUCAACAUCACGCAGGCCAGUCUGGCCGUGGCCGAAUUGGAAAUAAAUACGCUUCAUCCAAUCUGUAUCGCUGGGUCGAUCGGUACGGGCAACAAAAAUAAAGUUACAUUUAGAGUACCCGGUAUAUACGUGCUAGGAGGUCGCCGCGAAUGACCGAAGAGUGCCAAAUCUGAAAGAUCAGCUUUCUUCCAUCCUUCUUACGAGUUAGCGUCCGAAAAUCUCUUCUGUUGAAUAUUUGUUAACAUCAGAAACGCUACUCCGGUUUAAACUAUAUGUUUCAAGAUAAUUGUCCAUAGUUUAGUCCAAGCUAUAUGUUUCGAAAUAGCUGAUGAGUAACACCGUAAACUAUAAAAUUCUUUCUUCGCCUUUAA